AAGGCUGCAGAGCCUCCCCUGUGUGCCGAUGGUGCAGCCAAGGGCACAAAACCGAGGUUUGCCCCCAGGGAGGUGACAGGACGAAGGCAAAGUGCGCGCGAUGUGAAGGCCCGCAUUGCGCCAAUUACAGAGGCUGCAUGGCCUACAAGAGGGAGAACUGGCGUCACCUCCCGCAACAGGAGCGGAAAGACAGAGAGCUGCAGUCCAAACGCGCAUUGCGCGAAAACAAGCGAGCAACAGCCGCGGCUCAAGUCCGCCCGCCCCCACAACAAGCCGGCCCCUCAGGCUACUACCCCCAGCCCCCAAGGCAGCCGUGGCGAGCCCCGAGCUACCCCGCCCCCCCGCAAUGGCAGAGCCCUAAUCAAUAUUCAGUGCUGAGCGAUAGGCAUGAACUGGAGUAUCCUGUCAUGGCAAACCCACCCAGACCUAGAGGCCAGCCCCUGCCCCAGAGGCCCCCGAAGAAACACCUUUCGGGGCACAAAAACGGUAAAGGCCGGGCGCAAGGUCAAGUGAUGGAUCAGCCAGGUACUAAGGCGCCACCCAACUCCACCACUCCCCCCAGUGAUUCCAAGAAAGUCGCGCCUGCGGGCUGAUUACGAACACUAUCGACGACUAGCGUUAUUCUUCACGCGGUAACGAAACACGUAUCGCAUUUGGUGAUUACGACCCACCUUGCGAUAUGCGUUUCGUUAUUUUCCACGGUAACGCUGACCUGCGAUACGAAUCCAUGACGUCAGAGGACAAGCAACAAUUGAACAAUUAAUAUGUUCGUCGAACAGACUAUUUUUAAUGGAUCAACAUGAUAUAUGCUGCAAUAAAAAGAGCAGCUUAAGCAAUAGCUGCUAAGAUAACAGCUGGCAAUAUUAUCCAAGUUAUAUUUCUGAGCAGCCUUGACCAGUGAAUUAUCCAAAUCUUCGGUACAGCAUCAUUGGGAAUGAUGUAGAUUCUAGAAGGUGGUUUUGUCCCUCAACCUCUGGUAGACAUUAUAUUGUGUUAGUCAUGCAUUUUGUUUAUCCUAUACUUUUCCAAAUAUUUAUUUGAAAAUAAAAUAUAUAUUUUUUUCAA